GCAGAAUAAGAAAGAGGAAAACCAGCAAGGAGCUGGGACCAUAAACCACUAUUAAAGAUCAGAGAAUGGAUGUCACUAAGAUAAUGGAAAGAGAAAAUACCUAGGGACCAGCAGAGAGAGGUCAUUUACUGCAUGACUGACUGGCAGGCAGCCAGGAGGACCUGUCUUUAGGGACACAGUGGACAAAAAAGGAGAGAAGAAAUUAAAAGAAUUUCUGAACAUUUCUGUAAUUCUUGGAUCAAAGCAACAUGGAUGCAAGAAGAUGCCAGUACUAGGAAAUAUCUUUUGUUAAACUGCACAUUCCUCAUAGAAAGUGAAGAGCAGAUUCUGCAUUUAUGAAGUGGAAUUCAUCUGAAAGUUAAUAUUUCAGUAUAAAUUCAACAUCAAAAUUCCUCUUCAUUAAGAGAAGAGAGAAGACUUCCAAGAAGAAUGCCUACUGCCUAGCCCAUCUUUGAUCACCGGGGAUGAUCAUCAGAGGAAGCUAUUUCUCUCUUUCAUUAACUACAAGAGACUUAUGUGGCCACCUUCAAUCAAAGAGCUCACUUUCAGGUAGUUGAAAUCAGGAUCCCAGCUACAACACAAAUGAAACAAUAGACAUUCAACAAUUUUGUCUGAGGCUUAUGUGCAAAACGCAAGGAAGUGGUUGCGAUGAAAGAAAUGGC